GCCGCCGUAGCUCAGCCGGCAGAGCGAUCGCCUUGUAAGCGAUAGGUCGUGGGUUCGAUCCCCACCGGCGGCUCCA
rnacentral:tRNA from 1 species